GCGGGUGAAAUGCAAACAGCAGUCCUGCUCCUCUCCUCCUACCCCGGAACCUCCCGUCCUCCUCGGCGCUCUCACUGACUGGGGUCAGGGGCCACCCAGGAUGAUUUAUCCAUUGCUUACCUGUUAACCAUUAUCAUCAACGAAUGCUUAAUCCAGGGGUCCUCAAACUAUGGCCCGCGGGCCACAUGCGGCCCGCCGAGGACAUUUAUCCGGCCCGCCGGGUGUUUUUGCCGCCGCUGCCUGUCCUGCUUAGCAGCCGACUCGUCCCAGGCCCACAGUGCGCAUGUGUGGAAUGUGCGCCCCGCACUCUCCGACACCCCUCCUCCUCUCUGAGGGACAGUGAACUGGCCCCCUGCUUAUAAAGUCUGAGGACCCCUGGAGACGAGACUGUUGGUCCUGGGCAUUCUCCUAACUGAUCAUCAUGAAGCAUAAGGCGGCCUUCUGCAGACAAACCCUGCAAUCUACGUCCGGUGACAAGUUUCCCAAGAGCAACCCCCAAACCUCGACAGGCCCAGGAGUACAGCCCUGAGCCCUGGUGUGGGACCUCAGAGAAGCCCCGGGUCUGGAGCACAGAGGGGCCAGAGGCCCGGGCACAGCCCUGAGCCCUGGUGUGGGACCUCAGAGAAGCCCCGGGUCUGGAGCACAGAGGGGCCAGAGGCCCGGGCACAGGCAAGGCACGGCCUGCAUCCUCUGCCUGAGAGGGGGCUGGGCAGGUGUGGCCUGGCGCAGGCACUCAGCACACCAGGCCGUGGGUGCCCUCCCCUGGGGUAAGAGG